rnacentral:tRNA from 1 species
GCUUUAGCUCAGUUGGUAGAGUCCUGGAUUGUGAUUCCAGUUGUCGUGGGUUCAAAUCCCUCAAG